UACGAAGGGGGCAAACGUUGCUCGGAAUUAUUGGGCGUAAAGCGCACGUAGGCGGCUUAGCAAGUUGGAUGUGAAAGCCCUCGGCUUAACCAAGGAAGUGCAUCCAAAACUGCUGAGCUUGAGUAGUUAAGAGGAUCGCGGAAUUCCCGGUGUAGAGGUGAAAUUCGUAGAUAUCGGGAGGAACACCAGUGGCGAAGGCGGCUACUGGGACCAGUAACUGACGCU
rnacentral:rRNA from 1 species